UAGAAGUGUCUCUAGGAUUGUCCCCUC
rnacentral:piRNA from 1 species